rnacentral:rRNA from 1 species
UGGGGAUGACGUCAAAUCAGCACGGCCCUUACGUCCAGGGCUACACACGUGCUACAAUGGCCGGUAACAAAGGGCAGCUACCUGGUGACAGGAUGCUAAUCUACAAAAGCCGGUCUCAGUUCGGAUCGGAGUCUGCAACCCGACUCCGUGAAGCUGGAAUCGCUAGUAAUCGUGAAUCAGAAUGUCACGGUGAAUACGUUCCCGGGCCUU